AAAGUGCGAUAAGCAAUGCGAAUUGCAGAAUUCCGCGAAUCAUCAGAUCCUUGAACGCAACUGGCGCUGAGAGGAUAUCCUCUCAGCAUGUCUGUUUCAGUGUCUGAAAACAUCCUACAAUCUUCCAAUCAUAAUGUGUACUUGACAACGAGUAGGGUAUUAUAUCUGACUCCGAGUCUUACAUGAAAGAUGUAUGUGUGGGUCUCUUGUGCCCUCAACAAUCGAAUUGGUCACUGACACUUCAGUGAUUUCGAUUUCCACUGAGGGGAAGCUACUCAAAAUAGCUUUAGUGCAACUUACCUCUAUUUUACACAUAGGAUCAACUACCCUUUCAAACACUCAUCUCUGCAUCUGAAAUCAGGCAAGAACACCCGCUGAACUUAAGC
rnacentral:misc_RNA from 1 species